GACGAACGCUGGCGGCGCGCCUAACACAUGCAAGUCGAACGAGCGAGAGGAGGUUUACCUUCUCAAGCGAGUGGCGAACGGGUGAGUAACGCGUGAGGAACCUGCCUCAAAGAGGGGGACAACAGUUGGAAACGACUGCUAAUACCGCAUAAGCCCACGACCCGGCAUCGGGUAGAGGGAAAAGGAGCAAUCCGCUUUGAGAUGGCCUCGCGUCCGAUUAGCUAGUUGGUGAGGUAAUGGCCCACCAAGGCGACGAUCGGUAGCCGGACUGAGAGGUUGAACGGCCACAUUGGGACUGAGACACGGCCCAGACUCCUACGGGAGGCAGCAGUGGGGAAUAUUGCACAAUGGGGGAAACCCUGAUGCAGCGACGCCGCGUGGAGGAAGAAGGUCUUCGGAUUGUAAACUCCUGUUGUUGAGGAAGAUAAUGACGGUACUCAACAAGGAAGUGACGGCUAACUACGUG
rnacentral:rRNA from 1 species